rnacentral:rRNA from 1 species
UACGGAGGGAGCUAGCGUUGUUCGGAAUUACUGGGCGUAAAGCGCACGUAGGCGGUUUUGUAAGUUAGAGGUGAAAGCCCGGGGCUCAACCCCGGAAUUGCCUUUAAGACUGCAUCGCUUGAAUCCGGGAGAGGUGAGUGGAAUUCCGAGUGUAGAGGUGAAAUUCGUAGAUAUUCGGAAGAACACCAGUGGCGAAGGCGGCUCACUGGACCGGUAUUGACGCUGAGGUGCGAAAGCGUGGGGAGCAAACAGG